CACCCUUCUCUGUUGUUAUAAUGUCUUUCCAAAUAGAGUCAAAGGCCAUUGUGUAGGUUCCUACUCACCCCUUUCCAAUCUUAGUCCAAUGUUGCCUUCUUGAUAUCACAACCAAGGUAUCCUAAUAAUGUUUGAGAAGUUCCCAAGCUCUUUGUCCCAGUUUUUGUAGAAAAGCUUCUGGUUCUCUCCCAUGUAAGGCUAAUUCAUACAUGCCAGUGUCAUCAAUAGUUUAGAUCUCAAAAUCAACUUUCUUUUUCUUUUCUUUUUUUAUGUUGCCUGUGUGAACCACUGCCUUGAGUAAAACAUAGUUCUUGUACUAUGUGCUAAUGACUGAAAUUCUGAUGAGAUUAAAGAGCACAAGAUAGAGCCAGUAACUGUUUCUCACUGUGCACGUAUGAAGCUUGCAUUCUUUUUGCAUGUUUUCAGGUUCAACAACAAGACCUAUUGCUAUUUUUGACGUUCAGAAAUUCAAUAAAGAACUGUUGACAUUUGAAGGUCUCAUUCAAGAAAGCCAACUAAACGGACAAAAAGAAUGAUGAUCACAGAUAAAGAACCCUAAGUGCUUAAAAAAAAAGGUCUUCCAAAAAGAAGCAAGCUGAUUGGCAGCAUAGAAUGCUAAAGGCUCAGGGAUUAGAAACACCGUGCACCUCUGUAAGCAGAGUGAGGAAUGGAUCUUAAAGCAGACUGAGACUCUGUCAGAAGGCUCUAGAUCCCAGGUACUCUCCUUCCUUCUCACUUUCCUUCAACCAUAGCAAAAGGUAAAGAUUAUGCUCAGGAAAUGAUGAACCUGUUUAAGCUCUGGACCCUCAGAUACGAUGUACAAGUGAAUUGAGUAAACA
rnacentral:lncRNA from 1 species